rnacentral:rRNA from 1 species
AUUGAACGCUGGCGGCAGGCCUAACACAUGCAAGUCGAACGAGUGGCGGACGGGUGAGUAAUGUCUGGGAAACUGCCCGAUGGAGGGGGAUAACUACUGGAAACGGUAGCUAAUACCGCAUACCAUCGGAUGUGCCCAGAUGGGAUUAGCUAGUAGGUGGGGUAAAGGCUCACCUAGGCUACGAUCUCUAGCUGGUCGGAGAGGAUGACCAGCCACACUGGAACUGAGACACGGUCCAGACUCCUACGGGAGGCAGCAGUGGGGAAUAUUGCACAAUGGGCGAAAGCCUAAUGCAGCCAUGCCGCGUGUAUGAAGAAGGCCUUCGGGUUGUAAAGUACGUUCAGCGGGGAGGCGUUACUCGCAGAAGAAGCACCGGCUAACUCCGUGCCAGCAGCCGCGGGAAUUC